rnacentral:pre_miRNA from 1 species
UUAAUACUCCCUCCGUCCGGAAUUAGUUGACGCUCAAACAGAUGUAUCUAGAACGUCUAGAUACAUCUGUUUGAGCGUCAACUAAUUCCGGACAGAGGAAGUAUAUG